AGAAUCAACGCUGGCGGCGUGCCUAACACAUGCAAGUCGAACGAGAAAGUGGAGCAAUCCAUGAGUAAAGUGGCGCACGGGUGAGUAACACGUGACUAACCUACCUUUUAGUGGGGGAUAACCUAGGGAAACCUGGGCUAAUACCGCAUAAUACCUACGGGUCAAAGCAGCAAUGCGCUGAAAGAGGGGUCGCGGCCGAUUAGCUAGUUGGCGGGGUAAUGGCCCACCAAGGCAGUGAUCGGUA
rnacentral:rRNA from 1 species